rnacentral:rRNA from 1 species
CAGACCACCAGCUAAGGUCCCAAAAUAUAUGUUAAGUGGAAAAGGAUGUGGCGUUGCCCAGACAACUAGGAUGUUGGCUUAGAAGCAGCCAUCAUUUAAAGAGUGCGUAAUAGCUCACUAGUCGAGUGACACUGCGCCGAAAAUGUACCGGGGCUAAACAUAUUACCGAAGCUGUGGAUUGUCCUUUGGACAAUGGUAGGAGAGCGUUCUAAGGGCGUUGAAGCAUGAUCGUAAGGACAUGUGGAGCGCUUAGAAGUGAGAAUGCCGGUGUGAGUAGCGAAAGACGGGUGAGAAUCCCGUCCACCGAUUGACUAAGGUUUCCAGAGGAAGGCUCGUCCGCUCUGGGUUAGUCGGGUCCUAAGCUGAGGCCGACAGGCGUAGGCGAUGGAUAACAGGUUGAUAUUCCUGUACCACCUAUAAUCGUUUUAAUCGAUGGGGGGACGCAGUAGGAUAGGCGAAGCGUGCGAUUGGAUUGCACGUCUAAGCAGUAAGGCUGAGUAUUAGGCAAAUCCGGUACUCGUUAAGGCUGAGCUGUGAUGGGGAGAAGACAUUGUGUCUUCGAGUCGUUGAUUUCACACUGCCGAGAAAAGCCUCUAGA